rnacentral:rRNA from 1 species
ACACCUCGGAUCAUGACGUGAUUACCGCUGAAUUUAAGCAUAUUAUUUAAGCGCGUAGGAAAAAGAAACUAACAAGGAUUCCCCUAGUAACGGCGAGUGAACGGAGAAGAGCCCAACACCGGAAUCACCCUUUGGCGCAAGUCAACGGGAAAUGUUGGGGUGUAAGGUAGCCCUUCGUGUCAGUCUAGGCGUCUCAAUUCCACCUGAUUGUGGGCUCAAGCCCAGAGAGGGCUGUAAGGCCGUAGAGACGCUCCGACUUGAUUCCUGGGGUUUACCUACGAGUCGGCUUGUUUGGGAGGAAAUGCAGGCCAAAGCGGGUGGGUAAACUCCAUCCAAGGCUAAUACUGGCACGAGUCCGAUAGCGGACAAAGUACGGCCGUGAGGGAAAGUGAAAAGAACUUUGAAGAAGAGAGUUCAAUAGUACGUGAAACCGCUUUAGAGGCAAACGGAUGUGAGCUCAUUACUGCCUGAGGAAUUCAACUGUGACGGUGGCUGGACGAGCUGGCGUUCCGAUCUCUCUUUUGGGACGGGCGUCGGUUUGCUAUCAGCUCGCGACAUGGUGGGCACUUUCCUUGGAUGCCUCGUCCGCCACGACUCGACGACACUGGCUACCCGCGGCUGGGGUAAGGUGACAAACUGCUUCGGCAAUUUGUGUUAUAGACCCGGCGGUCGGACAUGUUUGGCCAGGACGUCGAGCUGGCGGCGCCCGCUCCUUGUGGCUCGCAUUUUGGCUAGCUGGCUGGCGCCGAUGCUUGCACUGUACAACCAGCUACAGGUGACGGUUGUGUCUUGGUCUAUUCUAGUAGUGCCUCUGCGAGUUUGGCGCCUAUAGUCUGUGGUGUAUUGUGGGGUAAGACUAUCCGACCCGUCUUGAAACACGGACGCAAGGAGUCUAACAUGUGCGCGAGUCAUGGGGGGAUUCUACCGAAACCCAAAGGCGCAGUGAAAGUAAAGGCCUGCUUCCGUAGGCUGAGGUGGGAUCUCCGUGCAUCCGCGAUUGGCGAGCGCACCACCGGCCCGUCCUAUCUGUCUCUGUCAGUGGGGCUGGGCGCAAGAGCGUACACGUUGGGACCCGAAAGAUGGUGAACUAUGCUUGCGCACUCGAAGUCAGUGGAAACACUGAUGAGAAGCGCAGCGUUUCUGACGUGCAAAUCGAUCGUCCAAACGUGAGUAUAGGGGCGAAAGACUAAUCGAACCAUCUAAGUUAGCUGGUUCCCUCCAAGUUUCCCUCAGGAUAGCUGGCACUCGGGAAACAGUUUUAUCCGGUAAAGCGAAUGAUUAGAGGCAUUGGGGUCGAAACGACCUCGACCUAUUCUCAAACUUUAAAUGGUAAGAUGCUCGUCUCGCUUAAUUGGAGGCGGGCUUCACCUCUCUAACGUUAAACGGCUGAAUGUGAGUGCCCAGUGGGCCAUUUUUGGUAGCAGAACUGGCGCUGUGGGAUGAACCAAACGCGGCGUUAAGGCGCCCCAAUGCGGAACGCUCAUGAGACACCACAAAAGCGCUGUUGGUCGAAUAACUGAACAGGCAGGACGGUGGCCUGCCAUGGGAAGUCGGAACCCGCUAAGGAGUGUGUAACAAGUCUCACCUGCCGAAUCAACCAGCCCUGAAAAUGGAUGGCGCUGGAGCGUCGGGCCGUAUUACCGUGCCGUUGGGCGAAGCAGACAAAUAAUCUUGUGUGGAUGUCCAACGAGUAGGAGGGUCGCCGUGGUGAGCGCAGAAGGUGCGGCCGUGAGGGCCGGCUGGAGCCGCCACGGGCGCAGAUCUUGGUGGUAGCUAGCAAUUACUCAAGUGAGAACCUUGAGGACCUGAAGUGGAGAAGGGGUUCCAUGUGAACAGCAGUUGAAGCAUGGGUCAGGCGGUCCCUAAGCGAUCGGGUAACUCCGUACCUAGACGAGGUGACAACUAUCACUUGAACUAAUACUGUGACGUGUUAUAAGCCCUCCGAGCGAAAGGAAAUCGUGUUAAAUAUUCACGACCUUACCGUGGAGAUCGCCCCUUUCGGGGGCAAGUGCGGUAAACGCAAACGAACACAGAGACGUCGGCUGGAAGCCCCGGGAAGAGUUCUCUUUUCUUGUAAGAGCGUACCCCUGGAAUCGGCUUGUCCGGAGAUAGGGGCGUGGCUUCCGUAAAGCAGCGCGGUGGUCUUGCGCUGUCCGGUGCAACCUCUAGUCGGCCCUUGAAAAUCUGUGGGAGACAGUGUGAUUUCACGGUAGGCCGUACCCAUAUCCCAGCAGGUCUCCAAGGUGAACAGCCUCUAGUCCUAGAACAAUGUAGGUAAGGGAAGUCGGCAAAAUGGAAUCCGUAACUUCGGGAAAAGGAUUGGCUCUGAGGGCUGGUCGGAUGCUGGCGUAAGAAGCUGUUCCGUUUUGGUGAGGACUGGGAGGCUUUCGGCUUUACUCGGACCCAUGCCGAGACCAGGCAGUAGACGACGUCAGCUGUGCUUGUCGUGUUUCGGCGUCGGUCAGCUUCGUCCGGCAACAAACAGCCAACUCAGAACUGG